rnacentral:rRNA from 1 species
GACGAACGCUGGCGGCGUGCUUAACACAUGCAAGUCGAACGGAAAGGCCCUGCUUUUGUGGGGUGCUCGAGUGGCGAACGGGUGAGUAACACGUGAGUAACCUGCCCUUGACUUUGGGAUAACUUCAGGAAACUGGGGCUAAUACCGGAUAGGAGCUCCUGCUGCAUGGUGGGGGUUGGAAAGUUUCGGCGGUUGGGGAUGGACUCGCGGCUUAUCAGCUUGUUGGUGGGGUAGUGGCUUACCAAGGCUUUGACGGGUAGCCGGCCUGAGAGGGUGAUCGGCCACAUUGGGACUGAGAUACGGCCCAGACUCCUACGGGAGGCAGCAGUGGGGAAUAUUGCACAAUGGGCGGAAGCCUGAUGCAGCAACGCCGCGUGCGGGAUGACGGCCUUCGGGUUGUAAACCGCUUUCGCCUGUGACGAAGCGUGAGUGACGGUAAUGGGUAAAGAAGCACCGGCUAACUACGUG